rfam:Hordeum vulgare subsp. vulgare, WGS project CAJW01000000 data, contig: morex_contig_45317
GUAGUACUCCCUCCGUCCCAAAAUUCUUGUCUUAGAUUUGUCUACAUACGAAUGUAUCUAUUCACGCUUUAGUAUUUAGAUACAUCUAUUUCUUGACAAACCUAAGACAAUAAUUUUAGGACGGAGGGAGUACUAG